UCGUGAGAACAAAAGCGAACAUAUCGUUUGUUAAAACGUAUAAAUGCAAUACUGGAUUUACAGCGUGUCCGACUUUUCCGCAAUUUUGCAUAGACUUCACAGCACAAGCAAUUCUUGCAUUCUGUGGGUGUAAUGCGGCGUUAAAUAACAACGCACUGCCACAUACGUUGUCCCAAUCGCAUGCAGGGUCAGUAUCAACCUUCCUUAACAGGCCAACUCGAAAAAGAUGACCUAGUUCCGUAAACGCAGCAAUACUACCACUUGUGAUCUAUUUUGUAUCAUAUUCUCAACUGGAAACAUGACGGUGCUAAAGUGAUGGCGUUCGUUCUGGUCAUAGCUGUCCUUACAUACCUCACCCGACUUUGUAAAUGUGGAGGUGUCCUUCAUCCGUACUUUAUCCCGUGCAUAGCGAUCCUCAUUCGAAUUGGACAGCCUUGACACAUGUAUUUAUCAUUUGGAAGAAUCUUGGGCAAGUACGUUGCCUCCGGAUCGGCGAUUGGAAUGGAGGCGGGAAUGUGAUUGUUAUAUUUACUUUUUUGACCUAAUUUUUCACUACUAAGCCAGUCUACAUCUUGCCCGUAAUGAAAAUCAGAGAUCAACAUGUAUAUCACGUAUGUUAGAACACGAUAACCGCUUUCAAAGCGAUUUGCUAGAGACAUGACGCGCUCUUAAAAAAAUGACAAUACCAUGCAUUUCAUAAUGUACUUUGAUCAGUUAGAUGUAAUUAGACAACAUUGAGUUAUAAUUGAAACACUGAAAAUACGAUAGAGACACAAGCUGGUGCUUACCGAUAUCAGCUGUACACUAUGCAUGCCUCUCCGUAAUUUCUGCAUGUAUUCGAGUCUGUUUUCUCACUAAAGUCACUUCCUCACAAUAUUUGGUGUAUAUGUAAUGACAUCUAGUGUACGUGCAUUGUAACAAAGAUUCAAGUAGAACUCUAUUGGUCCAAGCAAAGCUGCACUUUGUGGACACGAGCCGGAUUGAUCCACCCUUCCUAACCAAUCAUUACUUAACUCGAAAAAGAAAUUUCGUUGAUCUAUUUCUAACAAUGGCUAUGCGUGGGUUACGGUAGUGCUUUAAGAUGAUGCAGCGUUGAUACGUAAUAAAGUCUUUAUCCAAUCGUUUUAUUCAUAAGCCGGUACUUCACUGAUGUCAUUACCAUUCCCCCCUCGUGUCUCAUAACUUUAAUCAUCUGGCACACUACGUGGUACGAUUGAUCAGUCCCUGGUUUUAACUUCUGCGAUGAAGUUCUCUGUUCAAAGGUUUUAACUUCCACGAUCGAAGAAAAUGCCAUAAAGCAAGGUAAAGUUCAAUUCAAAGCGAUGGCUUUUCGGAGACAGCCGCUAUUUUUUGCACGUUUUAUGAUUCUGCGACUGUUUCGUUUGCAAGUUUUUUGUAUAAAUACAUGUGUUAAUUUUGACGUCUCGGCGCUAGAGGGCGUGACAAGUUUCAACAUGACGUGUGGUAGAGGCCGGUCUCAUCUUGAUUGCACGGCAACUUGUACUACCAAAAACCUCCGAGAGGUGAGCUGCACCAAGAUCCUGGAGGCCAGUAAAGAGAGGACGGUAACCAUUACAGGUUAUUCCAAUUUUAAAACAUAUCACCGCCCAGAAUAUAAAACAGACCGCCUACAGGCUCAAGCCCAACUUACCUACAACAAAAAUCGUCGAAUGUUCAUCGGUUUUCAUGGUUCACGAAUUGCGCAGAUCUUUGUUAUGGGAUCUGGGCAAAGGCUUGAUAUAAUUGCUGAUUUUAUGAGUCACGUCCCAAAACCAUACUUGGAAAGGAUGAUGGGUUUCUAUGGGAAUGGUAUUAUCGUCUAUGCAGCACCAGCAUGGCGACAAACCAAACAGCCCCAUCAAAUUCUGAUAGGGUUUCGCUAUUUUUGCGGGAAGUAUGUUAUCAGGACAAAACCCCAUCCGGAGUUGUAUGCUAAAGAUGGGUCAUCUCCCCGUUGUGAGUUUAGCGUUAACCAAGAAAAGCUUGUGUCAUAUUGCAAAGCCCGCAACUCGAGUGUCCGUGUCACUAUUUCUAGCAUAGUAAUUUCUAAAAAACAGUUCAUACCUACACUAAUCAAGUCCGAAAUUGUACAAAACCAUACAAAAAAACCACAUAUCUUAUGGAUUUCUGACACAGAUUUCAUUGUGUGGUUCGGAAAUAUAUUGGAAAUAUUAGUUUUCAGAAAAAUUAACGAAUACGCAUAUUUUAGGCUAAUGAUGUCAUUCCCGGAACAAUUCAAAUUCACCGAUGUUCUUUUCGAUGACCCGACAGGUUCCAUCCUACUUGUGACGGCGAACCAACGAAUGGCUUGGGUCGAGUCGGAGUAUGUUAGUUCCGACACCACAAAGAUGGAAAACAUCAUUCGGGUUCGUGGACACGUUUUCAAUACACAAUUACUUUCCGGUUGUGCGAUUGGCAGUUGUUUUCUUGACGGAGAAGGAAAUCUUCUCCAUGUGAUAUUUUACUUCCCAAAGAUGGCAAAGGAGGUACUCAGAGUGGAUGUGUACAAACCCCAACAUUCAUACCGCCGGCGGUAAUCUUACGCAUCGGAAUUGAAUCGUCGACGACACGAGGCAGAUUUUGCAAGCCUUAUGCUUCAUCGUUUCUAGAGGUUGCGUAAUCUGCAUAAUGACCGUGACAUGAACAUUUUAAGGCUACAAUUCGAUAGGCCUCUGAAUAGUACAAAAAAAUGAUGGGAAAUGCUCAUGUGUUCAGCCAAUCUUCCGCUCGUAAGCCGGUGUCGAAUUUCGAAAUGUCCGCGGAUAGUAUGUCCUGUGUACAACGGAUUCUAUAUGCCAGUGCGCUUUUUAUCUCUGAAUUGUUGAGGUUCAUCAUGGUCUCUCUUGAACCAUAUACCACAAUCCACCGGUCAGACUACAAUCGGAUCGGACAUUUUCCAUGCGUGGGACAUUUUUGACUGCUACACCCGUUUUGAAUAGAGAAGAUAUGCACUCCAAUUCUUAGAAAAGGGUUGUUCAUCCAACUCGAUCAUGCAUCCCGUAGAGGUUUUUAGGUGAAAUAAAAAAACCUAAAGGUCAAACCUUUGUCACACGUGGGUAACCUGUCCUGGAAAUGUUGGUUGCGGCAUGAUCCCGGUCUCGCGACAGUCCAGUUAUGACAAUACGACUGUCUCAAGGUUAGGAUGCUUGGAGAACUUGGCCUGCAGUAAAGUCAUCAUUUUGGGAGUGGUCGUUGUCAGAGUGAAUCUUUAAUAGGAUCAAAACAGUGGGACGGAAAGUAAUUGAGAUCCAUUUUAGGCCUGGUUCUGUAGUACAACAAAAAAAUACAGCUUCGAAGAAGAAGAAGAAGAAGAAGAAGGUAAGCAUACCAAUACCUCCAAUUCGGUAUCAGUUCCGUGAACAGACUCCUACCGAUCGGGGCAGUGAGGUUAUUGAUGGGGCUAUCUCAACGUUAAUUAAGAAAGAGGA